AGUGGCGGACGGGUGAGUAAUGCUUGGGAACUUGCCUUUGCGAGGGGGAUAACAGUUGGAAACGACUGCUAAUACCGCAUAAUGUCUUCGGACCAAACGGGGCUUAGGCUCCGGCGCAAAGAGAGGCCCAAGUGAGAUUAGCUAGUUGGUGAGGUAAAGGCUCACCAAGGCAACGAUCUCUAGCUGUUCUGAGAGGAAGAUCAGCCACACUGGGACUGAGACACGGCCCAGACUCCUACGGGAGGCAGCAGUGGGGAAUAUUGCACAAUGGGGGAAACCCUGAUGCAGCCAUGCCGCGUGUGUGAAGAAGGCCUUCGGGUUGUAAAGCACUUUCAGUUGUGAGGAAAAGUUAGUAGUUAAUACCUGCUAGCCGUGACGUUAACAACAGAAGAAGCACCGGCUAACUCCGUGCCAGCAGCCGCGGUAAUACGGAGGGUGCGAGCGUUAAUCGGAAUUACUGGGCGUAAAGCGCACGCAGGCGGUUUGUUAAGCUAGAUGUGAAAGCCCCGGGCUCAACCUGGGACGGUCAUUUAGAACUGGCAGACUAGAGUCUUGGAGAGGGGAGUGGAAUUCCAGGUGUAGCGGUGAAAUGCGUAGAUAUCUGGAGGAACAUCAGUGGCGAAGGCGACUCCCUGGCCAAAGACUGACGCUCAUGUGCGAAAGUGUGGGUAGCGAACAGGAUUAGAUACCCUGGUAGUCCACACCGUAAACGCUGUCUACUAGCUGUUUGUGGCUUUAAGCCGUGAGUAGCGAAGCUAACGCGAUAAGUAGACCGCCUGGGGAGUACGGCCGCAAGGUUAAAACUCAAAUGAAUU
rnacentral:rRNA from 1 species